CUGUUUUGCUACCCGAUUCGAACUCCACCAGCAGCAUGAAGCACCCGGUUGCCUGAUCAUUGCGGCAAUAGUUUACAUCCGCAUCGGAGAUCUGUGCAUCGCACCCAUCGCACUGAUAGCACCGGAGAUGGUUCGGAAAGAUUUGGUUAUUACAGGUGCUGUCGCUGCACAGGUCGUAUGAAUCGAACUUCGUCGUUGGAAAUUCGUCGCUGACACAUCCACGCGAAAUAUUCCACUUACAAUCAUAGACCGUGUAACACUGAUCUUUCUGGUGAAUAUUACAUUCGACCUUACUGCCGAGGAAAGCAUCAAUCGACGGACAAUCAUCGCAGGAGUAGCAUUCAAAGCUCGCUGCAAGGAUGAGGAAUGCACAACUUUGGUGUAAUCUUGCUUAGAUUUAGACUUCCCUCGCAUGUCUUACCAUCUCGAUUGCAUAGAUCACUGGAACACGUUCGGCAGUUGGCCCCCUCUUGUUCACAGCUAAUAGUGUAGUCUUCCUCACUUGUACAGCCUAAAUGCAGUGUGGCCUGUUCGUCAAGAUAGCGGUAACAUUGAUCCGUCACCUUGGGACACGUUUGCAGCAAGCAUUCAGGAUUUACGCUAGUAUCACAGACUUCGCACGUCAGAACAUCGUUACAGGGUUUACCUGUCUCCGGGCUACAUUCGGUACAAGAAGCACCGGAACAGUCCACGACGUACUCCGGAUCUGAGGUACAGCCUCGUUUACCAUCUAGAAAAAUGUGGGUAAGUACACAUUAGCUUCUUUUUAUUGUAAAAUUGCAUCAAACUGCUAAAUAUCUUCAAUAUGUACAUCCUAAUAUUGGGACACGUGCAUUCCUGUAGAAUUUACGACCUCACAUUAAAGACGCCCUUCCGAAGCGCCGUUUGAUUGACUGGUGGCGGUAAAACAUCACACAGUAUCACCUUCGACAAGCGAUUUUAUAAUCCUGUUCUCUUCUUCCACUAUCUGUGUCUCCUGUAGUUAGGUCUCCUCGCCCCACAUUCCCUGUUAUGGUUAUUUAUCUACACUUCCGAAUUGUAUGUCAUCCGCCUUCCGAUAUCGUUUGAUUGGGCUGAUAGUGCAGUGUGUUCCUGCAAUGCUGGAUGGAUUUAUGGCCACCCCGUUUCUCACACUGGAUGAUUUGGU